rnacentral:rRNA from 1 species
AUGGUGGACCCUAUAUUCAAGCUUUGCACUCCAGUUCUGAAGAGAGCAGCAGGUAGACCAAGGAAGAGUCGAAUCAGACCUCACAGCAAAGGAGCUGGACUUGGAGCGAGGAAGCGUAAGUGUACAAGGUGUGGUGGGUCUGCUCAUUUCGGUAAGUAUCGUGAUAACACAGUAGAUCCAACAUUCAGAGAGAGUUUCGAUGAAAAUGUUGGUCAGCAGCCGGUUGCUUCAACAGAUGAUGAAAAUGAUGGUCAACAGCCGGUUGCAUCAGAUGAGGAUUUUGACGAGGCUCCAAAUGAUGAUGGUCAACAGCCGCAUGAUUUUGACGAUGAUCCAAAACAUCCUCCAAAUAAUGAUUCAAGUGAGGCUCCAAAUAGUGAUCCAAGUGAGGCUCCAAAUGAUGAUCCAAGUGAGGCUCCAAAUGGUGACAAACCUUCUGUUGUUGUGAGUUCUGCUAGGUAUGUAAAUCUUGCAAAUACUACUAUACAUUUAUCACUUGACAUGAUCGCAUUACCCUUUAUGUUUUGCACAGCUCUAUGA